GUUUGCAGUCAUGUGGAGACCCAAAUACUUUGAAAUCUUUUGUAAUCUUUUGUAAUUGAAAACCGUUAGCAUCGUUGAAGAUGCCGCACCUUCUUGUUCUGUACUUGAAGCGACCGCUCCCGUACACGGGUUCGAUCUCUGUGCUUUAGUGCUAGUCCCUGGAUCGACUCACUAGUACACACAGUUUCAAGAUGUAAUAUCAUAGAACAAAGGUCUCAAUAUUACAACGGAUCAUCCAGAAUUUAAAAGGUACUUACAACUCGCAUAACCUCACGGGUUAGCUGGAAAUAAAACAACUGUUUAGCAACGGAAAGCGAAAGAUACAAGGGCACAUCAACACCACGGUGAGAGCGUGUUGGAAUGCAGGCCCGUAACCCAAACAAGCAGAAACUACAUCUUACUCGUCGUCGGAGCUUCCUGCAUCAUUAAACGAUCACAUAAGUUGUGACGAUUCCAGAAAGGUGCGGAUCACAAAUUUUGGACAAACGGUUUGAAAGAUAUGAUGUUUUGAAGUUACAGGGGCUUUUCUGUAAAAUUGCAUUAUCUAUUUCGGCCGAAAAAUAAAGUAAAAGAAAAAAAGAAAAAAUCCUGCCACGUGGCGGCGCACGGUUGGCCGGCAUUAGGGUUUUCCCCGGGCGGCGCGAACGGACGGUGAAUGGCGGCGGC
rnacentral:lncRNA from 1 species